rnacentral:rRNA from 1 species
UUUUCCCGUUUUGUUCUGCCGGACCCGACUGCUAUCAGAGUAGGACUAAGCCAUGCGAGUCAACGCCGCAAGGCGUGGCAUACGGCUCAGUAACACGUAGUCAACAUGCCCAAAGGACGUGGAUAACCUCGGGAAACUGAGGAUAAACCACGAUAGGCCAAGGUUUCUGGAAUGAGCCAUGGCCGAAAUCUAUAUGGCCUUUGGAUUGGACUGCGGCCGAUCAGGCUGUUGGUGAGGUAAUGGCCCACCAAACCUGUAACCGGUACGGGCUUUGAGAGAAGUAGCCCGGAGAUGGGCACUGAGACAAGGGCCCAGGCCCUAUGGGGCGCAGCAGGCGCGAAACCUCUGCAAUAGGCGAAAGCCUGACAGGGUUACUCUGAGUGAUGCCCGCUAAGGGUAUCUUUUGGCACCUCUAAAAAUGGUGCAGAAUAAGGGGUGGGCAAGUCUGGUGUCAGCCGCCGCGGUAAUACCAGCACCCCGAGUUGUCGGGACGAUUAUUGGGCCUAAAGCAUCCGUAGCCUGUUCUACAAGUCCUCCGUUAAAUCCACCUGCUCAACAGAUGGGCUGCGGGGGAUACUAUAGGGCUAGGAGGCGGGAGAGGCAAACGGUACUCAGUGGGUAGGGGUAAAAUCCACUGAUCCAUUGAAGACCACCAGUGGCGAAGGCGGCUUGCCAGAACGCGCUCGACGGUGAGGGAUGAAAGCUGGGGGAGCAAACCGGAUUAGAUACCCGGGUAGUCCCAGCUGUAAACGAUGCAGACUCGGUGAUGGGCUGGCCUUGUGCCAGCCCAGUGCCGCAGGGAAGCCGUUAAGUCUGCCGCCUGGGGAGUACGGUCGCAAGACUGAAAACUUAANGGAAUU